CUAACAAGGAUUCCCCUAGUAACGGCGAGUGAAGAGGGAAAAGCUCAAAUUUUAAAUCUACCUGGUUCCCAGGUCGAAUUGUAAUUUGAAGAAGCGAUAUCGGUGUUGAGGUCUGGUUUAAGUUCUUUGGAACAAGAUAUCAUGGAGGGUGAGAAUCCCGUGCAUGAUCAGGCCAAGAUGCACUUAAUAUUCGUUUUCUAAGAGUCGAGUUGUUUGGGAAUGCAGCUCAAAAUGGGUGGUAGACUUCACCUAAGGCUAAAUAUCAGCGAGAGACCGAUAGCGAACAAGUACUGUGAAGGAAAGAUGAAAAGAACUUUGAAAAGAGAGUUAAAUAGUACGUGAAAUUGUUGAAAGGGAAACGAUUGAAGUCAGUCAUGCCAGUGAAAAUUCAGUUUGGCGGGUUUUUGGUCUUUUGAUAGAGGCAGCGUUUCUUUUUUUGGACCAGGGAUCUGUCAGAUGCACUUUUUCUUUGGCAGGUCAGCGUCGAUUUCGGGGGUUGUAAAAUACUUGGGGAAAAGUAGCUCUGCUUCGGGAGAGUGUUAUAGACCUUGGGGGAUGCAGCCCGCGGGAUCGAGGAUUGCAGCAAAUGCCUUUGGCUUGUCGCCUGAUCUCUGGAUGUUACCUCGCUUGUAACAACAUUCUUGUUGCCGGUGAGUACUAAUGCCUAUCAGGUUAGAGCGAUCAAAAAUUUGCUAAGGAUGC
rnacentral:rRNA from 1 species